rnacentral:rRNA from 1 species
UACGGAGGGUGCAAGCGUUAUCCGGAUUCACUGGGUUUAAAGGGUGCGUAGGUGGGUUGGUAAGUCAGUGGUGAAAUCUCCGAGCUUAACUUGGAAACUGCCAUUGAUACUAUCAGUCUUGAAUGCCGUGGAGGUCAGCGGAAUAUGUCAUGUAGCGGUGAAAUGCUUAGAUAUGACAUAGAACACCAAUUGCGAAGGCAGCUGACUACGCGAAUAUUGACACUGAUGCACGAAAGCGUGGGGAUCAAACAGGAUUAGAAACCC